GAGUAAAGUAUGAGACUGGGGUCAAGUUGAUGUUUGGACUCCAUGUGUCAUGCCUGGAGAGGAGUUGGGCACCGAAUGAAGCCGAGGAGGUCGUCAAAACCCACAGGCUGGCGUAGCCCUGAGGUCCAGCCUCGGCCUGAUCGCCACCGUUGUCCUCACCGUUGUCCACGUUUCUUGCCCACCCUUCAGGCUCCCGAAGUUCCGUCGAGGAAGUCCGAACCUCCAGACCUACAGUUCCCUACAGGACCGUCGGCGACCUGGUUGGAGACCUUGAAUUGUAAAUCAACGUCUUUCAGGCCAGGAACCUGGUGGUAAGGCUGGAAUAAUCCAUAUCGACAAUAUUUUAAGUGCUUAGCAAUAAAGCAAAGAUGGUGAGAAUUUA